UCUUGCUGCUUCUUCUCUGUGGCUUGGCUCAAGGUCUAACAGUUUACAGAAACCCAAUCAAUGUUGGUUGGCUUGAAGACAGGAUCUCUGCCUACAAACUUUUCAUAGUUUAGGAGAAAAAUCCUAUGAAUCAUCCAAGGUUCAACCAAGAGGAGAGGUCACUCUAAGUAUUUAUAACGGAGGACUCUCAUUACCCAGGUUAUAGGAAGACUUUGAGGCCAGAGCACAGUGACAUUGGAGGAAGCCGCAACCCUCCCUGGGUUGAAGGAACUAAGGAGAAUGUGGCAGAAUUGGCCGGAAGCAGAAUUGCCUGUUUCCACUGAGGCCCCCUUGCCCUCUUGGAAGCAAUUGCUGUGUAGGAAGUCUGAACACCUCACAGGAGAUGGAGGCCCGGCCAGUUCCUGCCCGCUGUAGCCGCCCAGCUGAAGGGGGUCCAGACACGAGUGGAGCCAUUGUGACAUCCAGCCUCAGCAGACACCUCCACACUGCGCAGGGCAGAGCAACCACGCCACCGAGUGAGCCCCAUUUGCAGACUUUGAGCAAAUAAUGAUUGUGCACGUUGGAUCAUUUAUUGAGUUUCUCUCGUACACCAAGCACUGGUUGGAUCCCAUGCUUGUUGGUGACAGAGCUGCUGUGAUGCCAGUCCUGCGUCCCCUUCAGCCUGUGAAGGAGGAGCACCAUGAACUAGCCAACUAACACGUGUCUAAUCACAUAAAGGGAACUGAACACCAGAGAGCUACAGUCACUUUCCGAAGGUCACACAGCAAGUGCAAAUGAGGUCUCACCCUCAGGGCUGGGUUCCAGGCCUGCUGGGCAGAGGACUCUGACUAGAAAAGAUUAGGCCUUCAGCAGCCUGGAAUUGGCCAUCCUGACACCAUCUUGCAGUCACUUGUGAUAAGAGCUCGGCAUCUGCUUCCAAAGGCUCUGCAGCAUCAAAUACUCUGCAUUGCAAAACCAGUGGACCAUCUCGCCUACACAAGGGCUCCUUUAGCUACCCCUGGACUGGUUUGUUCACUUUUUCUUCUAUCUGUUUUGCCCCUUGAUGUUAAAUGUUACUUUGUUUGUUGUAGAAUGUUUAGCCUAUAACAUUCAUAUAUUGAUUAAGUAUACUAUGAUGUAUGGUGUGCAAUACUGACUGGCUUGUGGGGUGACUUGAGCCUGUGUGCUCAGGACUAUGUGCCCAUGACUCCCUAGUGCAUGGGAAGUGUGAUGGAGAAUUGCCUUCUUGGAAACUCCAUGUAGCUCGUGGCUUUUGUGAUUGAAAUAGCUUCAAUAAAAGCCUGACGUUGUGGAAAGA